GUUGAGUCUUUUCUGCAGUCUCCACUUUGUUUUAUUUUCCUCCCUUCUCAUCUGCUCCGGAUUCCUUCACACAGUUUCAAGUUCCUCUCGCGCACCCGACCCCCUCCCCGCCCCUCUCCGCCCGCGCUGCGGGCUAAGCUGGAGGGAGGCAGCCCCGAAGGCUCCGCGACAGCGGCGGCGUCUCUUCUCCCGGCUGCUCGCAAAGUCCGGCCGGCCGGAGGCAGAGCCACCAACUCCUCUCAACUUCUGCCGAUCCGCUGGGCGAAGCAACACGCUUCCUGCGCGUCUCUCCUAGGGGCUGAGCCGGGUGAGGAAACCACGACCCCUGGCUGUGUGCUGCUCCAUAACUCCAGAGCCCCAGCUCAGACCCUGGCUCCUCAUAGCUCCACCUGACCCUUGGCCCCUAAAGAACCCGAAGACUCCAGAACUGGAAGAGAAAGCAUGAAGGAGGGACAGCACAUUGCCCUGAGUAAGCACCCACCCCAGCAACAGGCCAGUAAUUGGUGGUAUUUCCCCGCAGAGGCAGAGAGAGAGCAUGCAAACUCCUCUCCGCAGCAGCCUUGGUCUGGGUCCACUCCGUUAUUGCAUUUAGUUCUUCAUGAUGGUAAUGGUUCUGCCUUCACAUAAGCCUGCCUGACAACUUGCUCUUUCAAAUGUAAGGGGGAAAAUUAAAUGCUAUAAUUAA